rnacentral:rRNA from 1 species
ACACAUGCAAGUCGAACGGAAAGGCCCUGCUUUUGUGGGGUGCUCGAGUGGCGAACGGGUGAGUAACACGUGAGUAACCUGCCCUUGACUUUGGGAUAACUUCAGGAAACUGGGGCUAAUACCGGAUAGGAGCUCCUGCUGCAUGGUGGGGGUUGGAAAGUUUCGGCGGUUGGGGAUGGACUCGCGGCUUAUCAGCUUGUUGGUGGGGUAGUGGCUUACCAAGGCUUUGACGGGUAGCCGGCCUGAGAGGGUGACCGGCCACAUUGGGACUGAGAUACGGCCCAGACUCCUACGGGAGGCAGCAGUGGGGAAUAUUGCACAAUGGGCGGAAGCCUGAUGCAGCAACGCCGCGUGCGGGAUGACGGCCUUCGGGUUGUAAACCGCUUUCGCCUGUGACGAAGCGUGAGUGACGGUAAUGGGUGAAGAAGCACCGGCUAACUACGUGCCAGCAGCCGCGGUGAUACGUAGGGUGCGAGCGUUGUCCGGAUUUAUUGGGCGUAAAGGGCUCGUAGGUGGUUGAUCGCGUCGGAAGUGUAAUCUUGGGGCUUAACCCUGAGCGUGCUUUCGAUACGGGUUGACUUGAGGAAGGUAGGGGAGAAUGGAAUUCCUGGUGGAGCGGUGGAAUGCGCAGAUAUCAGGAGGAACACCAGUGGCGAAGGCGGUUCUCUGGGCCUUUCCUGACGCUGAGGAGCGAAAGCGUGGGGAGCGAACAGGCUUAGAUACCCUGGUAGUCCACGCUGUAAACGGUGGGUACUAGGUGUGGGGUCCAUUCCACGGGUUCCGUGCCGUAGCUAACGCUUUAAGUACCCCGCCUGGGGAGUACGGCCGCAAGGCUAAAACUCAAAGGAAUUGACGGGGCCCCGCACAAGCGGCGGAGCAUGCGGAUUAAUUCGAUGCAACGCGUAGAACCUUACCUGGGUUUGACAUGGAUCGGGAGUGCUCAGAGAUGGGUGUGCCUCCUUUGGGGUCGGUUCACAGGUGGUGCAUGGCUGUCGUCAGCUCGUGUCGUGAGAUGUUGGGUUAAGUCCCGCAACGAGCGCAACCCUUGUUCACUGUUGCCAGCACGUUAUGGUGGGGACUCAGUGGAGACCGCCGGGGUCAACUCGGAGGAAGGUGGGGAUGACGUCAAGUCAUCAUGCCCCUUAUGUCCAGGGCUUCACGCAUGCUACAAUGGCUGGUACAGAGAGUGGCGAGCCUGUGAGGGUGAGCGAAUCUCGGAAAGCCGGUCUCAGUUCGGAUUGGGGUCUGCAACUCGACCUCAUGAAGUCGGAGUCGCUAGUAAUCGCAGAUCAGCAACGCUGCGGUGAAUACGUUCCCGGGGCUUGUACACACCGCCCGUCAAGUCAUGAAAGUUGGUAACACCCGAAGCCGGUGGCCUAACCGUUGUGGGGGAGCCGUCGAAGGUGGGACUGGUGAUUAGGACU